GAUGAAGAACGUAGCGAAAUGCGAUAAGUAAUGUGAAUUGCAGAAUUCAGUGAAUCAUCGAAUCUUUGAACGCACAUUGCGCCCGCCAGUAUUCUGGCGGGCAAGCCUGUCUGAGCGUCAUUUCAACCCUCAUGCCCCUAGGGCGUGGUGUUGGGGAUCGGCCAAAGCCCGCGAGGGACGGCCGGCCCCUAAAUCUAGUGGCGGACCCGUCGUGGCCUCCUCUGCGAAGUAGUGAUAUUCCGCAUCGGAGAGCGACGAGCCCCUGCCGUUAAACCCCCAACUUUCCAAGGUUGACCUCAGAUCAGGUAGGAAUACCCGCUGAACUUAAGCAUAUCAAUAAGCGGAGGA
rnacentral:misc_RNA from 1 species